UCUUUUCAUGGAUGAUAUACAGAAAGCAGAUCAGGGGCACUAUACUUGCCUUAUAUCCUAUAGUUAUGUGGGGAAGCAUUAUAACAUUACUCGGACAAUUCAUCUAAGUAUUAUGGGGUCAGGAAAGAAAUAUGUACCAACAAUUCUGGCACCUGAAAACAAGACAAUGGAGGUAGAACUUGGGUCCCAGUUGCUUUUGGACUGCAAUUUCACAGCUGGAAAGGGCCAAGUUCAGUAUUGGUCUUGGAACGGAACAUAUGCUGAUAUUGAUCCUAAUGUUAACUGCUUUAAGCCUCAGUAAGUACAUGAUAAUUAUAUAAAGACAGAGGUAAAGAAAUUUCUCAUUUUGUGUGAACCCUGUUACUGUUUUG